GGCUGGUCUGAGUGCAGUGGUGUUUACAACAAAUUGAUCACAACCAGUUACAGAUGCCUUUGUUCCUUCUCCACUCCCACUGCUUCACUUGACUAGCCUAAA
rnacentral:Y_RNA from 1 species